rnacentral:rRNA from 1 species
GAAAGCAGGGGAUCGUAAGGCCUUGCACUUUUGGAGCGGCCGAUGUCUGAUUAGCUAGUUGGUGGGGUAAGAGCCUACCAAGGCGACGAUCAGUAGUUGGUCUGAGAGGACGACCAGCCACACUGGGACUGAGACACGGCCCAGACUCCUACGGGAGGCAGCAGUGGGGAAUUUUGGACAAUGGGCGCAAGCCUGAUCCAGCAAUGCCGCGUGAGUGAAGAAGGCCUUCGGGUUGUAAAGCUCUUUCAGUCGAGAAGAAAAGGCUGUGGUAAAUAAUCGCAGCUCAUGACGGUAUCGACAGAAGAAGCACCGGCUAACUACGUGCCAGCAGCCGCGGUAAUACGUAGGGUGCAAGCGUUAAUCGGAAUUACUGGGCGUAAAGGGUGCGCAGGCGGUUUUGUAAGUCAGAUGUGAAAUCCCCGGGCUUAACCUGGGAAUUGCGUUUGAAACUACAAGGCUAGA